AUUUGAACGCUGGCGGAAUGCUUUACACAUGCAAGUCGAACGGCAGCAUAGAGAGCUUGCUCUCUGAUGGCGAGUGGCGAACGGGUGAGUAAUAUAUCGGAACGUGCCUAGUAAUGGGGAAUAACUAGCUGAAAGGUUAGCUAAUGCCGCAUACGACCUACGGGUGAAAGCAGGGGAUCUUCGGACCUUGCGUUAUUAGAGCGGCCGAUAUCUGAUUAGCUUGUUGGUGGGGUAAUGGCCUACCAAGGCGACGAUCAGUAGCUGGUCUGAGAGGACGAUCAGCCACACUGGAACUGAGACACGGUCCAGACUCCUACGGGAGGCAGCAGUGGGGAAUUUUGGACAAUGGGGGCAACCCUGAUCCAGCCAUUCCGCGUGAGUGAAGAAGGCCUUCGGGUUGUAAAGCUCUUUCGCAAGAGAAGAAAACUUGCUAUCUAAUAAAUAGUAAGUAUGACGGUAUCUUGACAAGAAGCACCGGCUAACUACGUGCCAGCAGCCGCGGUAAUACGUAGGGUGCAAGCGUUAAUCGGAAUUACUGGGCGUAAAGCGUGCGCAGGCAGUUUUAUAAGUCAGAUGUGAAAUCCCCGAGCUCAACUUGGGAACUGCGUUUGAAACUAUAAGACUAGAGUGUGUCAGAGGGGGGUAGAAUUCCAAGUGUAGCAGUGAAAUGCGUAGAGAUUUGGAGGAAUACCAAUGGCGAA
rnacentral:rRNA from 1 species